CGCUGCUGAGCGCCCUUAAAGGUGAGCGUGGGGCUGGGGGUGCCCUAUAGCACGGGGUCCCCCCAUUAAGGUCUCUCCAUUAGGGACCCCACACAGCCUGACUCGCUGUUUGCAUCGCGCCGUGCCUGGCUGGGAGGAAGUUCCCCUGAUUUUCCAGCGGGUUUCCCUCUGCUCGGAGGUCCCAGCGCGGCUCCUAUGGGUGCAGCUCUUCCCCAAUCCCCCCAUAGGUGCGGUGCUGCGGUUGCGGGAGGGCGGCACUCCGUGCACCGAUGCUUCCCCGCACCUGGCGGCCGCCUGCGCGCUGCUGGAGGGAGCCUUGAGGAAGGGGCUGCGACAGCCGCUGUGGGGCUUCAGGAGAAGGGAUUACUGGCAGUGCCUGGAGCUGCUUUCCCUCGGGGAGGGCAGGAGUUCUAUGACUCGUCAGGCUCCAUCCUGGGUAAUGAAGAGCUGCGGG